UCGCCACCUGGCCGGCAGCUGCUGCGAGAUGAAGGGGGGUGCGACCAGCCUGGGGGUGAGGGGGUAGGUGAGGGGUUGAGGGGUUGAGGGGGUGCGGGGGUGGGCGGUGUUGUUGUUCUUAUGGACAAUGACUGCUUGGUGUGCGUUGUGAAAGGGGGGGUUGUGGGGAGAGUUUGGCCCCCCUAGAACUGCCCCCUCCUCCUAGCCGCCCGCCCGCCCGCAGGGGUCCCCCCCACAGAUACACACAUGUGCGCGCUCACCCACCUUGUCCUGCAGUGUUGUUUUGGCACGUUUUGGCAACCCUUGGCUGCGGCAAGGUGGAGCGCAGUCUGGCCCUCCUGCGUGCGGGUGGCCCCUCGGCAGGGGCAGGGGGAUGGGGUGGCGGGAAAGACGAAGGAAUGAGCUUCCCUGUGGCAGAGCCGCCUGCCAUGUGGGCACUAUCCUAACACCUGUAGAGGAACUCCAAGGAAACCUCGGAUAAGCAUCAAGUGUCCUUAAGUCCUACUAUAGCUCAGCUCCUGGAUCACAGCGCAGGGCCGGGUGAAGAGCUUUGGCAUGGCGUUUCGAGGGGGCACCGGGGAGUGAGCGGGGAGAGCGCGAGGCAGGGGCUGGACACGCGACCAUAUGGAAGGAUUUUGCCGCGCCGCAUUUCCUACAAAUUCAACGUGUUGUAUUGACUUCCUUCAGGAGCCCAUUUGUCUCGACGCCGACCAAUCCAUGACAUUGGAAGCAUGAAAAGCCAUGCACCCCCGCGCGGACUCCCGAAGACGGUGCGAAGCCUCCCUGGAGUCCGCCAACGGAAUCGCCCAGCGCGAGGCUUUCCCGACCUGCGACCUGAGUUCAGCUAAAAUUAUUUAUUCAAACAAUCCGUUUGCCUGCGAUGUAUGGAGCUUUUAAAACUGCAAAGAAUGAUCAAGCAGAACCGCCAUGAUCAAG
rnacentral:lncRNA from 1 species